rnacentral:rRNA from 1 species
CACGUAGUUAGCCGGGGCUUCUUAGUCAGGUACCGUCAUUUUCUUCCCUGCUGAUAGAGCUUUACAUACCGAAAUACUUCAUCGCUCACGCGGCGUCGCUGCAUCAGGGUUUCCCCCAUUGUGCAAUAUUCCCCACUACUGCCUCCCGUAGGAGUCUGGGCCGUGUCUCAGUCCCAAUGUGGCCGUCCACCCUCUCAGGCCGGCUACUGAUCGUCGGCUUGGUGGGCCAUUACCCCACCAACUACCUAAUCAGACGCGGGUCCAUCUUACACCACCUCAGUUUUUACCACUGUACCAUGCAGUACUGUGGUCUUAUGCGGUAUUAGCAGUCAUUUCUAACUGUUACUCCCCCUGUGUAAGGCAGGUUACCCACGCGUUACUCACCCGUCCGCCGCUCAGUCACAAAAGUCUUCCUCCGAAGAUUCUGACUUAAGCGCUUCGCUCGACUUGCAUGUGUUAGGCACCGCCGCCAGCGUUCAUCCUGAGCCAGGACUACAAACUCUCUACGG